GCACUGGAUGGAGGUUGUUCCGCUGUGAUCCAUUGUCGGACAUCGAAGGAGAGCGACGCUCAGAUGUCUGGACAGUGC
rnacentral:sRNA from 12 species